AGGACGAACGCUGGCGGCGUGCUUAACACAUGCAAGUCGAGCGGAAAGGCCCUUCGGGGUACUCGAGCGGCGAACGGGUGAGUAACACGUGAGUAAUCUGCCCCUAGCUCUGGGAUAGCUCCGGGAAACCGGGAUUAAUACCAGAUACGACCACUUUAGACAUCUGUUGUGGUGGAAAGAAUUUUGGCUAGGGAUGAGCUCGCGGCCUAUCAGCUUGUUGGUGAGGUAACGGCUCACCAAGGCGACGACGGGUAGCCGGCCUGAGAGGGCGACCGGCCACACUGGGACUGAGACACGGCCCAGACUCCUACGGGAGGCAGCAGUGGGGAAUAUUGCGCAAUGGGCGAAAGCCUGACGCAGCGACGCCGCGUGGGGGAUGAAGGCCUUCGGGUUGUAACCCUUUCAGCAGGGACGAAGCGAAGUGACGGUACCUGCAGAAGAAGCGCCGGCUAACUACGUGCCAGCAGCCGC
rnacentral:rRNA from 1 species